CCGAAACUUGUUAUGUAGCCUCAAGUUUGUAGAAUGGGAAGACAGGUUUGCAUAACUCUCUGCAGCUGUGGUGAGCUGGGAAAUGUGUCUCCACCCUUGCAGUCUGGCUCCAAACCCUCCAGGAAGGAGGAUCUGUAUGAAUUCCUCUGAGAGUCAAGAUACUUAAAAAAUCGCAAAGUACUUACAUGUUCAUUUGAAACAACCAUCACACAACCUUUAAAACAGUGUUCCUGGAGCCCUGAGGCAAGGGAUUUGAUGGAGAAAUCUGUCUUACAGCCGAGUGUUCCAAGAUCUCUUACCCUCUCUGCGUUAUGUCUGACCAUGGAUCUCUGUAUUUGUUCCCAUCUGCUGCGGGAGGAAGCUUCUCUGAUGAUGAAAUGGAGCUGACAACAUAAGAGUCAAAUGUCCAAGCCCAUUAAAGUACGGAUUCGAGUUAAGGGGAAAGCAGAACCCGAGUAGCAUCUCCGUCCUGGAAGCUGGAAGAGGCCAGUGUAGAAGCUGAGGUAGUGUCAGUCUUCAGUUGUGGAGUUGUAACACCGUAGAGCUGGAGUAUAAGCCCUUGGACUUGAAUUGGUCAUGAACCUGAGAAACCCACAUCACUCAGAGUGCUGCCAG
rnacentral:lncRNA from 1 species